rnacentral:rRNA from 1 species
CCUACGGGGGGCAGCAGUGAGGAAUAUUGGUCAAUGGGCGCGAGCCUGAACCAGCCAAGUCGCGUGAGGGAUGAAGGCUCUAUGGAUUGUAAACCUCUUUUAUAAGGGAAUAAAGUGUGGGACGUGUCCCAUUUUUUAUGUACCUUAUGAAUAAGGAUCGGCUAACCUCGUGCCAGCAGCCGCGGUAAUAUGGAGGAGCCGAGCGUUAUCUGGAUUUAUUGGGUUUAAAGGGUGCGUAGGCGGCCUGUUAAGUCAGCGGUGAAAGGCUGUGGCUCAACCCUGGAAUUGCAGUUGAAACUGGGGGGCUUGAGUGUGGUUGAGGCAGGCGGAAUGCGUGGUGUAGCGGUGAAAUGCUUAGAUAUCACGCAGAACCCCGAUUGCGAAGGCAGCCUGCCGGGCCAUGACUGACGCUGAGGCGCGAAAGCGUGGGGAUCAAACAGGAUUAGAUACCCCGGUAGUC